rnacentral:tRNA from 2 species
GCCGACAUAGCAUAGCCCGGUUGUGCGGCUGAUUUGUAAUCAGCAGGUCGAGGGUUCGAAUCCCUCUGUCGGCUCCA